rnacentral:rRNA from 1 species
GGGAAUCUGCCCUUAGGUUCGGAAUAACAGUUAGAAAUGACUGCUAAUACCGGAUGAUGACGUAAGUCCAAAGAUUUAUCGCCUGAGGAUGAGCCCGCGUAGGAUUAGCUAGUUGGUGUGGUAAAGGCGCACCAAGGCGACGAUCCUUAGCUGGUCUGAGAGGAUGAUCAGCCACACUGGGACUGAGACACGGCCCAGACUCCUACGGGAGGCAGCAGUGGGGAAUAUUGGACAAUGGGCGCAAGCCUGAUCCAGCAAUGCCGCGUGAGUGAUGAAGGCCUUAGGGUUGUAAAGCUCUUUUACCCGGGAUGAUAAUGACAGUACCGGGAGAAUAAGCCCCGGCUAACUCCGUGCCAGCAGCCGCGGUAAUACGGAGGGGGCUAGCGUUGUUCGGAAUUACUGGGCGUAAAGCGCACGUAGGCGGCUUUGUAAGUUAGAGGUGAAAGCCUGGAGCUCAACUCCAGAACUGCCUUUAAGACUGCAUCGCUUGAAUCCAGGAGAGGUGAGUGGAAUUCCGAGU